AAUAACAUUCAUAAAAUAAUCACAGAAUCGUCUAGGUUAGAAAAGACCUUGAAGAUCAUCCAGUCCAACCAUUGACCUAACAUUGACAGAUCCCAACUACACACCACAUCCCUCAGCACUAUGUUGACACAAAUCUUAAACGCCUCCAGGGAUGGGGACUCCACCACCUCUCUGGGCAGCCCCUUCCAAUGCCUAA